rnacentral:rRNA from 1 species
GUAGGGAAUAUUGGACAAUGGCUGAAAAGCUGAUCCAGCCAUCCCGCGUGAAGGUAGAAGGUCCUAUGGAUUGUAAACUUCUUUUCUCUGGGAAGAAAACCUCUUAUUCUUAAGAGACUGACGGUACCAGAGGAAUAAGCACCGGCUAACUCCGUGCCAGCAGCCGCGGUAAUACGGAGGGUGCAAGCGUUAUCCGGAUUCACUGGGUUUAAAGGGUGCGUAGGCGGGCUUGUAAGUCAGUGGUGAAAGCCCGGAGCUUAACUCCGGAACUGCCAUUGAUACUGCAAGUCUUGAGUACACUUGAGGUGGGCGGAAUACAUCAUGUAGUGGUGAAAUACUUAGAUAUGAUGUAGAACACCGAUUGCGAAGGCAGCUCACUAAAUUGUAACUGACGCUGAGGCACGAAAGCGUGGGGAUCAAACAGGAUUAGAAACCCCAGUAGUCC